AAAUAUUGUCUUCUUUGAAGUACGUUUGACGUAGCUGAAUGGUUAUACAUACCUAUUAUCAACCUAGGGUAGACGAGUUCAAAUCCGUGAAUGCAAAAUAUUUUAUUUUCCUCUUUUACCUAAACAAGGAAAAAACAAAUGCAUUUUGGGUAUAUCUAGAAACCCAAGCCAUCGCUCGCUCGGAUUAUAUUAAUCAAAAAAUACCCUUCGAUUAAUUGUUCAAACUUUUCUACUAAAAAUAUUGCUCCUAUGUAUUAAGUGUAGCUUAAUUUGUCAAAGGUAAUUUUAUCUCUAUGGUAAGUUAGGGAGGUCAUUUGUUAAUUUCUCAGGAGUUUUCCCAUUAAAUGGGAAAACUUUUUCUGAAAAAAAAUCUGACUGAAGGGGUACUUUUUUGAUUUUCUCAAUAGUUUUCCCAGUAAAUGUAAAAAUCG